GUCUACGGCCAUACCACCCUGAAUGCGCCCGAUCUUGUCUGAUCUCAGAAGCUAAGCAGGGUCAGGCCUGGUUAGUACUUGGAUGGGAGAAAUAUCUGUGAAUCAGACU
rnacentral:rRNA from 1 species